UAAAAAAUAUAAUUAUUACUUAAAAUGUAUUCUCUUUUUUUAUAUUGUUAAUAAUCACAAAAGCCAGGUCAUUUUUAAUAAAGUUAAAUAUAAAAUAAAAUGUAAAUAAAUGAUUAUAUAAUACAACACAAAUUUAUCAGAGUAGGACAAACUCUUCCGUGGCCGUUAAAACGGAAAAGAAAAAAGAUCAAAACGGCAGCACGACGUGAAUAUAUCAGCUAGGAGAGGUGAAAGGAAGUCUUCUUCUCCUCAAG
rnacentral:lncRNA from 1 species